UCACUAAAUGCGCCGUGAUACAAAGGCAAAAAGUAUGUUUGGCCCCUAAAAAAUCUUCAAUGCCUUCCUUUAAAAUAGAGCUUGAUGCGCCACAUGGCUCCUGAAACUCCAAAGUGAGUUUCGAACACUGAUCAUCACUCUUUUCAGGUGUACCGCACCAAAAAAAAAACAUACCAAACUAGAAUGGCCUGGUUACACGAUCAAAUUCCCGUCAAAUUCCGAUCAGAAUGAUGACCAAGAUGGCGGUCGAGAGGAGUUAUCUAGAUUGAUGAGUAAGUAAAAUAAUUAAAACAGCGUGUUUAUUGAAAUAAGCAUAAAAUGAGCACGGUUGUGUGGAAAUUAGAUGAAGGAUGAGCCUCACAGUUCCAUCAUGUACCAUCAAAUUUUUGCAGGCCGCAGAAAAUUGAGUGUAGAUGGUGCGCACCAGUCACCAUUUGAUCGGAAUUUGACGGGAAUUUGAUCGUGUAACCAGGCCGUAAUACUUCGUUCAUCAAGAUGGAGCCGUCCCCCGCAAUAAUCCGCGAAAGCGUAAACACAUAAAAGAAUGGAUGGAGAAAAGACCCACACCUUCCGAACGUCGAAGACGAGGACUGGUUGGAAACCUACUUUUACAACAAUAAAUUCAGCCUGGAGAAAACCAAAGCAAAGCUGGCCCUCUACUACUCGAUAAAAAACGAAUACCCUGAGAUCAUGAAGAAGCGAGACCUACCAUCCCGGCCUUGGCGAGGGCGAGGGAGGCCUUACUCGUCUGCUACUGCGGGGAGUUGACCCGAAACGGCUACUAUCUAUCCUACGCGAGGUUCGGUCCGGACCCCGACCUGUUCAACACGAACGAUAUCUACAAGAGGCUCACGAUGAUGUCGGACGCGAUGCAAUCUGGAGAAAUACAGGCGUUCCAGCUUUGCCGCCAUUGUCGAUUGCCAGUUCCUCAGUACAAGCAUGUGCUCAAGACUGUGCCCACCAUGCCGGGGAUGGUCAAUCUGGUCAACGCAUACACUGAAAGGAUAGCCGAGAUUCAUUUUAUCAGUGCGCCUCCAUUUUUGCGGAAAUCGGUUGAGCUGGUAAAGCGAUACUUGCCGGAGAAAUUGAGCAAAAGGCUGUUUGUGCACACCGCUGGAAGUGAAUCCAUCAUCAACACGACCGACUGGAAGGUCCUAGCCAGCGAUUUCGGUGGCGAUGGUCCCAGCUUGGCCGAAUUGGACGGUAAUAUUUUUCUGUAAUAGCAACAAGUGUCACCGUCCUCGUAAAAUGUGGAUACAUAACACUGCUGUGUUGCCAAAGAGAGUUGCAAGUUUAAAAAUAAAUUUUUAGAAAAUUAAGGAAUUGCUGCUUGAGUAAAAUUUUUUCAGUGAAGUCUUCUGUUUUUAUAGAAUGUUCGAUAAUUGUCCAAACUACUACUAAUGUUACGGAAGGUAAAGUUAAACAUGUCGCAACUCCAUCGCAACGAUCUCCAAUUAGAUUUCCUUUAUUUAAAAGAAGGGUCAUGAAACGUUCUAUUUGAAAUUUCCUAUAAAUAUUUCUGACUGAAAGAAGAAAAUUCACAAAUAAUAAAAAUAUUGAUUGUUUUUUUAGAAAUAGAAGAAGAAAACACUACGGAACAAAAACAAUAAAACAUGAAAGGGCGGUCGGUAACGUCGAAGAUACUAGUUCAUUAUCUUAUUUUAGCCAUGGAAUCCAUCAAGUGGUAAAGACGGAAGAAUUUUACCUUUAACUAAACUAGGCCAAUUCUGUUGAUUUAGCGGGAUCAUCUGUUCAACAAAAUUAGAUCCGUGGAAUUUUGAAGAAAAUUCCACCUCGAAAAUAUGCUCUCUCAGGAACACGGCAGAAAAAAUGGGUCAAGCCGGCUUGGACACACGCUCAUCGUGUUAAGUCCCCACGGGGCGCCUUCAAUAUUUCGUGUAUGCAAUAAGGACAUCCCUUGGACACGAAUAGUUGCAUCAAGGCGUUAUAAUCCAUACCGCGUCGAUUUCGGCCCAUAUUCAUAACUCGUCGCUCCUCUGGCGUAAGGGCGUAUCUCGAUUUUCGUAUGAGCCGUAGAAAGCAAGAAUCUAUAUGAAAUAUAGGGCUCACGUGGAAAUGGAGAUACGCCCUUCCGUCAGAGGAGCGACGAUUUGAGCGGAAGUAAUCAGAAUCAACCUGACCGCACCAUACGUUGCCUAAUUUCAUCUCAUGUUUUAUUUUUGUAAAAACAUACCACGAUAGAUAAUGGAGAUGUUGCAUGUGUGCGGGAUUUGCGAUUUGACUGUUGUUUCUUAUGCAAAAGUUUGCGAGAAACACGAUGGUGCCACUGGUUUUGCUCUGAAAUCAACUCCCAAGCUCAAAAAAGCUCUCAAGUUGAGGCCAAAAUGGAGGGGAUAUCCCGACCUACCCUGAGAGUCCACCUCUACAUCAAAACAAACUCUCCAUGCAAAGAUAGGGAGUAAAUACAUUAGCAGGGUUGCCGUGUUUUCAGUUUUGGAGUCCCAAAUAAAGUGGCAGCCCUGUCUUAUGUAUUUGCUCCCUAUCUUUGCAUGGAGAGUUUGUCUUGAUGUAGAGGUGGACUCUCAGGAUAGGGUGGGAUAUCCUCUCCAUUUUGGCCUCAACUUGAGACCUUUUAUUGAGCUUUGGAGUUGAUUUCAGAGAAAAUCAGUGGCACCAUCAUGUUUCUCGCGAACUUUUUACAUUAGAAUCAACAGUCAAAUCGCAAAUUCCUCACACAUGCAACAUCUCCAUUCUGCCCUAAAAUUGUGUUAGCAUAUCCCUCAUCCUCCUAGAAAAAUAAUUCAAGAAAAGUUUCAAGGCGUUAAACGGCUCAUUUGUCCGGUAUAAAAUAUAAUAAAAAAGGAACUUAGGUAACUUGAUUACUUAUGUUUGUCAAAUUGUCUCUAGGGUAGUUGACUGCUAAAUUUUUCCUACUUCUUUUGUAGUCCUUGCAAAAUGAAUUAUUUACGGAAAAAUUCCAACCGCAACGACCCUUAAAAUCUUUCUCUCGUAAAGCGAUCAUUAUGCACAUAAUUUGGCUGAAAUCGUAGAACCAUCCGCACUUAGUAUGGUUAUAAAUAAAAAACACGCCACUUUGAAAAAUGUCGAAAAAUCUGUUAUUUUCUGUUACUGUUAUAGAACAAUGCCAAAAACUCUUGGAAAAACAUAGGACGUGGUUCCUCGAACAAGACAAUGUGUGUGCAGAUGGCUUUCAAUGGAAAAAAGAGGAUAUGAACGGCUCUUUUAAACGACUGGAUAUCGACUAAUAAUAGAAUACGCUCGCGAUUUAUUACGUCUAAAAGUUUUUGAUUAUGUGAAUAAAUAAAAAAAUGAAAAUAAAGUAUUAAAAGAAGAAAUAAAAAGUGUGUGACUU
rnacentral:lncRNA from 1 species